GAUGCAGUGUACCCGCGGCAAGACGGAAAGACCCCGUGAACCUUUACUAUAGCUUGACACUGAACAUUGAGCCUUGAUGUGUAGGAUAGGUGGGAGGCUUUGAAGCGUGGACGCCAGUCUGCGUGGAGCCAACCUUGAAAUACCACCCUUUAAUGUUUGAUGUUCUAACGUUGGCCCCUGACCGGGGUUGCGGACAGUGUCUGGUGGGUAGUUUGACUGGGGCGGUCUCCUCCCAAAGCGUAACGGAGGAGCACGAAGGUUAGCUAAUCCUGGUCGGACAUCAGGAGGUUAGUGCAAUGGCAUAAGCUAGCUUGACUGCGAGCGUGACGGCGCGAGCAGGUGCGAAAGCAGGUCAUAGUGAUCCGGUGGUUCUGAAUGGAAGGGCCAUCGCUCAACGGAUAAAAGGUACUCCGGGGAUAACAGGCUGAUACCGCCCAAGAGUUCAUAUCGACGGCGGUGUUUGGCACCUCGAUGUCGGCUCAUCACAUCCUGGGGCUGAAGUAGGUCCCAAGGGUAUGGCUGUUCGCCAUUUAAAGUGGUACGCGAGCUGGGUUUAGAACGUCGUGAGACAGUUCGGUCCCUAUCUGCCGUGGGCGCUGGAGAAUUGAGGGGGGCUGCUCCUAGUACGAGAGGACCGGAGUGGACGCAUCACUGGUGUUCGGGUUGUCAUGCCAAUGGCACUGCCCGGUAGCUAAAUGCGGAAGAGAUAAGUGCUGAAAGCAUCUAAGCACGAAACUUGCCCCGAGAUGAGUUCUCCCUGAGACUU
rnacentral:rRNA from 1 species